rnacentral:lncRNA from 1 species
AAAAAAAAGAGAGAAGGGAGGAUGAUUCUCUUUUCCAAAUAAAAUUAAAUUCACAAACUUGUUGCGUAAGGAUUAUGAUAGCGGGUACAAUUUGCCAAUAUUUUUACUUUUUCUGAUAGGUUUUUUUUUUUCUUUUUUUUGUUGUUAUUUAUUUUUGAAGGGAGUGUUUGAGGGUUUGAAACAGAGGGUUUGUUUAUUUAUAAAUUAUUUAUUAGUUGCUUGUUAAAAUGUUUAAUAUAAAUUAUUACCAUAUGACUUAGACUUUUCAAAGAACACAAAAGGUCAGAAUGAAUAAAUUAUUAGAUUCGCAUUUACAGCCUAGGUAUGUAUUUGAUAUACUUCAUUUAUCUGAGUAGGACA